AACCUAGCACACCUGCGGUGUGUACCUGCGGAGGGAUCAUUACACAACAAAAUAUGAAGGUCUGGCUUCGCGGCCGGCUGAAGUAUUUUUUUUCACCCAUGUCUUUUGCGCACUUGUUGUUUCCUGGGCGGGUUCGCCCGCCACCAGGACCAAACCAUAAACCUUUUUUUUAUGUAGUUGCAAUCAGCGUCAGUAAAAACAAUGUAAUUAUUACAACUUUCAGCAACGGAUCUCAGAUCG
rnacentral:misc_RNA from 1 species